AGCUCCAAUAGCGUAUAUUAAAGUUGUUGCGGUAAAAAAGCUCGUAGUUGGACUUCUGUUGAGAAAGACCGGUCCACUCCAUGAGUGCGUAUCUGGCUCUGUCUCGGCAUCCUUUCGAUAAUCGCUUCUGCGCUUCGUUGCGUGGGGCUGAUUUCGGAACUUUUACUUUGAGGAAAUUAGAGUGUUCACGGCAGGCUCCCGCCAGAAUACAUUAGCAUGGAAUAAUACUAUAGGAUCUUGGUUCUAUUUUGUUGGUUUCUAGAAUUAAGAUAAUGAUUAAUAGGGACAAUUGGGGGCAUUCGUAUCAACACGUCAGAGGUGGAAUUCUUGGAUUGUGUUGCGACGAACUACUGCGAAAGCAUUUGCCAAGGAUGUUUUCA
rnacentral:rRNA from 1 species